rnacentral:rRNA from 1 species
AACGAACGCUGGCGGCGCGUCUUAAACAUGCAAGUCGAACGAGAAGCUCUGUGCUUGCACGGAGUGGAAAGUGGCGAACGGGUGAGUAACACGUGGAUAAUCUGCCUCUGGAUUGGGGACAACCAUCCGAAAGGAUGGCUAAUACCGAAUGAGAUGGUCUUUACAUAAGUAGAGAUUAUGAAAGGUGGGGACCUUCGGGCCUACCGUCUGGAGAUGAGUCCGCGGCCCAUUAGCUUGUUGGUGGGGUAAAGGCCUACCAAGGCAACGAUGGGUAGCCGGCCUGAGAGGGUGAACGGCCACAUUGGGACUGAGAUACGGCCCAGACUCCUACGGGAGGCAGCAGUUAAGAAUCUUGCACAAUGGGGGAAACCCUGAUGCAGCGACGCCGCGUGGAUGAUGAAGGCCUUCGGGUUGUAAAGUCCAGUAAGCAGGGAAGAAUAAGCGAAAGGUAAUAUUUUUUCGUGAUGACGGUACCUGCCUAAAGCCCCGGCUAACUACGUGCCAGCG